UACGGAGGGUGCAAGCGUUAUCCGGAUUCACUGGGUUUAAAGGGUGCGUAGGUGGGCAGGUAAGUCAGUGGUGAAAUCUCCGAGCUUAACUCGGAAACUGCCGUUGAUACUAUUCGUCUUGAAUAUUGUGGAGGUAAGCGGAAUAUGUCAUGUAGCGGUGAAAUGCUUAGAUAUGACAUAGAACACCAAUUGCGAAGGCAGCUUACUACACAACGAUUGACGCUGAGGCACGAAAGCGUGGGGAUCAAACAGG
rnacentral:rRNA from 1 species